rnacentral:rRNA from 1 species
CAUGGAUAACUGUGGUAAUUCUAGAGCUAAUACAUGCAGCAAGCCUUGACCCUUACGGGCAAGGCGCAGUUAUUAGAUCAAAAACCAAUCGGUUGUAUCUUCGGAUAUAGCCGUUAGCUUGGUGACUCUGAGUAACCACAGCGAACCGUAUGGCCUCGUGCUCGACGGUCUGUCAGUCAAGCAACUGCCUUAUCAGCUUGUUGUUAGGUUAUAUGCCUAACAAGGCUUCAACGGGUAACGAACGAUCGGGGUCGGAUAUCGGAGAGGGAGCUUGAGAAACGGCUACCACUUCCAAGGAAGGCAGCAGGCGCGCAAAUUACCCACUCUCGGCAUGAGGAGGUAGCGAUAAAAUGUAUCGAUGCGGGGCCAUUAGUGCCUUCGUAAUCGGAAUGAGUACACUUUAAAUCCUAUAACAAGGACCUAUUGGAGGGCAAGUCUGGUGCCAGCAGCCGCGGUAAUUCCAGCUCCAAUAGCGUAUAUUAAUGCUGCUGCGGUUAAAAAGCUCGUAGUCGGAUCUGGGUUACCGGCGGGUACCGCAUGUUGCUUCAUGCAGCAUGUUGUGUACUAUACGUGUCGCUUCGGCGGCACUGCCAGUGUAACGCUGCCUCUCGUAGGUACGUUACGCUGGUCGCCGGAACCACGGGCCGGGUUGAGCAGCAUGCUCUUCAUUGAGUGUGUUGUUUACUCGGUGCGUUUACUUUGAAAAAAUUGGAGUGCUCAAAGCAAGCGUACAGUCGCUAUGCGGCUUGAACAGUGGUGCAUGGAAUAAUGAAAUAGGGCCUCGGUUCUAUUUUGUUGGUUUUAAGAUAUCGAGGUAAUGAUUAAGAGGGACAGACGGGGACGUUUGUAUUGCGACGUUAGAGGUGAAAUUCUUGGAUCGUCGCA